UUUGGGAUGCAGCCCAAAAUGGGUGGUAAACUCCAUCUAAAGCUAAAUAUUGGCACGAGACCGAUAGCGAACAAGUACCGUGAGGGAAAGAUGAAAAGCACUUUGAAAAGAGAGUUAAAAAGUACGUGAAACCGUUAAAAGGGAAACGAAUGGGGUUAGCAAUGCGUCGUGCGAGAUUCAGCCGGUGGGUGGGCCAGGCGGGCGGUUGGCGGAUCUGAAUGGACCGCUGCCGUCCGGGUUGGUUUCCCGACCGUCGCACUUCUCGCAGGCGCGCGCCAACGUCGGUUAGGGCUGGGUCUCAAAGGCGGUGGAAAGGUAGGUUUGGACUCUCGGGCCCGAACUGUUACAGUCCUCCGUUCGUCAUGGCCCGGACCUGACCGAGGAGCUUGCGGUGCAUGCCGUUCGGCUAGGAUCCCGUCUUCCCGGUCGGUCGUCGAAUGCGGUGGACUGCGUGCAGUGCGCCGCGACUGCUGCCGGUCGCGAGGGCGGUGAUUUCGUACUAUGCACCCACGACGUUGGCGGUCAUAUGGCCUCAUCCGACCCGUCUUGAAACACGG
rnacentral:ncRNA from 1 species